GCCCGUCGCGUUCAUCCGGCGGCGCGCUCCAUGCCGAUCCGUCUCGGCGUCGCAUACGGCAUAUGCCAGUCGCCUUCGCGUCGGUCUAUAUACCGGGGAAAUUCGCGUUAUCUUCAUCCCCACUUUGUUCGCCUCGCCGCAUCUUCGCAUCGACGGGCCGCCUUGUCUCAAUAGCGCGCCGCUGGGGACUGGGGUAGUGGGGUGGGGUAUAGGGUUUAGGCUAACCACACUCAUACUACUCUAAAUUUGUACUCUAAAAAAAAUAUUCUGUCCUGGUCAGCAAAAUUCUUUACUCUAUACCACAAUCCUCCGCACUCAUGUUUACUCUAUAUCCCAACCCUAUACCAACUAUCAUAUAUUAUAUUAUUUUUUAACUCUAUAUCCCUAGCUGGCGUCGGCGAGGGCAUAUUGAAGUGUACCAGUAGCAGCAGUAGCUAGCUAGCUUUUCACCCACACGCAUGCGCCUGCAGUCCGAUCGAGUGGAGAGAGGGACUCUAGAAAUAGCGUUUUACAAGCGCACUCUAAUUUUACAGUAGCACAUAAGGUGCACGACUACAGCAUCUGUUAACUGCAAAUGUAACUGAAAAAACAUAGCGCAUGCUUUAGAGUUGGUCACUGCGGCUAGCCUUAGGCUCGCAAAAUAUUCCGUCUCGAUAAAGCCGACAUCAAAACUGUUCCGUCGAAGCAGAGCCCGCCCCUUCCCGCGCCGUUCUUUUUGGUUCCCCUGUCCCCGCCGCUGCCGAAAAACCGCCGAUGGAGGUCGUCGCCGCCGCGAAGCAGAAGGCGAAGAAGCAUAUACACCUCUUCUACUGCUCCGAAUGCGAGGAGCUCGCUCUCAAGGUCGCCGCCAGCUCCGACGUCAUCGAGCUCCAGUCUAUCAACUGGCGGAGCUUCGACGACGGGUUCCCGAACCUGUCAUCAACAAGGCCCACGACAUCCGGGGCAGCACGUGGCGUUCCUGGCCUCCUUCAGCUCGCCGGCGGUCAUAUUCGAGCAGGUCUCCGUCAUCUUCGCGCUGCCCAAGCUCUUCAUCGCCUCGUUCACGCUCGUGCUGCCCUUCUUCCCCACGGGCUCCUUCGAGCGCGUCGAGGAGGAGGGCGACGUCGCCACCGCCUUCACCCUCGCGCACAUCCUCUCCAUGAUCCCCAAGUCGCGCGGCGGGCCCACCAGCGUCGUCAUCUACGACAUCCACGCCCUCCAGGAGAGGUUCUACUUCGGGGACGACGUCCUGCCAUGCUUCGAGACGGGGAUCCCGCUCCUGCUGCAGCGCCUCCGCCAGCUCCCGGACGCAGAGAAUAUCACCAUUGCCUUUCCAGAUGAUGGAGCGUGGAAGCGGUUCCACAAGCUGUUGCAGCACUUUCCAAUGAUAGUCUGUAACAAGGUUCGUGAAGGUGACAAGAGAAUAGUUCGUAUAAAGGAAGGAAAUCCUGAAGGCCGUCAUGUUGUUAUUGUUGAUGAUUUAGUGCAAUCUGGGGGAACUCUUAGAGAAUGCCAGAAAGUUCUAGCUUCACAUGGCGCUUCAAAAGUAAGUGCUUAUGUGACCCCAUGCUGUGUUCCCUAAGCAGUCAUACGAAAAUUUCAUGGCGUCUAACUCUGCUGGGCCAGGCGACCAGCUCGCUUACUUCUGGAUCACGGACUCAUGCCCGCACACAAUAAAAGCCAUCGGGCAAAGACCUCCGUUUGAGGUUCUGAGCCUUGCUGGCUCGAUUGCUGACGCUCUUCAGAUAUGAGCGCGUACACUGACUGGUAGACGGGGGGCUUGAACCGUGGGAUGCCCGUCAGAUCGAGAACUUGUACCGUGAGAUGAGCUGCUCCUGCUUUUUUUCCCUAAAUGUAGGAGUUUGUUCCGGUUCCUUGAAAAAAGCAAAUAAUGUGGAGCAAGUUUUAAGUACCUGAAGGUUCCACAAACAGCGCUGUGAAUUGAUGAUAAAAUCAGGCAUUGGGAUACUCACAUCUGUGUGUACUUACUGUCGAUGCUCGCUUCCGUUUGAAGUUCGCGAGACCAGUGCUUCUUUCCUGAGUCCUGACCCUAUGUUGGAGUACCGUUGCCGUGCAUUCAACAGAGGCCAGUGCUUCUUUCCUGUGUCAAGUCUCGGGCCUGCACCUCUCAACUUCAGCCAUGUACAUGAGCCGCACGAACUUGCAGAGUCGUCACCUGCGCGUGCGGGUGCUGCUGCGGCUGUGGGCUUCUUCCUCCCGAGCGCUGGCGGCUGGCUGCCCUGCAAUGCAUUCAACCAACCGGCCAGCAGCUCCCACAGGGAAUCAGAAACCACCACCGUAAAAACGAUGCUGUAGCAGUAACAAAACCGUGAAUGCCUCAUGUUCGGAGCCUGCAACUCUGGACGGUCUUUUUCAGGUAGUUCGCGGCGUGCGUUUGCUGCGGAGCAUCAUUGCUGGGAAAAAAGGUCUACCUUAAAGCCUAUGAUGAGCAGUAGCCUAGCCGAGACAAGACAGAAUGUUUGGGUAUAGUAUAUAGCAGGUAUAGGUGUACAUUUGUGCUGUGCCUAAUAGGCUGGCCCAAAGCACACAAUUUCUGGCACAGUCCAUAUCUGGCACGGCCCAAUCUAAUUGUGGGCCUGGGCCGGCAUGGCCCACAUUGUGGGCCGUGCCUGGGCCUCAAGUCAAGCCCACGGGCCGGCCUGGCAUGGCCCAUUUAACUAAGGCCCACCGAGGCCCAAUAAUAUGGACUCAGUAUUUAACUAAGGUCCUUCAAAGCCCACAUGACUAGCAUAACUUGGAGAAUCUAGAGCUUCAAUAAGCCAUCGAGAACCAAUACCUAGAUAUGGAUAGUGAAUAGUGAUGAUGAUCAUUGUAUAUGUAUUCUGUAUGGAUGUAUAGUACUCAAUUAAACACUAAACAGAGAACUGAAUAUUAUUUGUGAGCUAUUUAUAAUAUUUUUUUCUUUCUGACCAAAGGUUUAUAAUGUGCAUCCACAAAACAUCUUAGUUUUAUUUUGGUCAUAUAUAUAUUUUAUAUUUUUGUUGAUAUAUUACUGUUAUAUGUAUAUGAGCCGGUCUAGCACAUUAAGGUAUUUUGGGCUAUUUGGGCUGGCCUGGCACACAUAACUAAUUGUGGGCCGUGCCGUGGGCCGAUGAUUGGGCACACGUGCUGGUACGGCACGACCCAUAAUUAGAUAUGUGCCUUUGUGGACCGUGCCUUUGUGGGCCGUGCUUUUGUGGGCCUGUGCCGUGCCGGGCCAGGCCAGCCCCACAUGUACAUGUAUAAUAGGAGGCGGGGCGGGGACGGUCGGACAGACAAGGUUGGCUGCACAGGUCCUGGCAUUUGGACGAUGGGUGGGUGAUUGCCUGAUUGGCUGAUUGGCCCCUAGCUUCGCUGCGGCCCGCAGCAAACGCCAAUUAAAUAAAAACUGCAAAACGCUGCAUGCAUCCACCACGAGUGAACCGUCAGAAGCUUCGGUUCAUUCGGGGACGCGCUUCCGAUCCUAUUUUCAGAGCCUUCUCUAAACGUAGAAGAGAGCUUCCUGGUUUGAUUUAUACUAGUACCCUUUUUCCCCUUAGCUGCAACCGCUGCAAAGGUAAUUUAAAUCUGACAAAAUACAGAAUUGUAUAUUGUUUUUUUCAGAUUAAAGUUCACGUUGUUGGGCCCAAUGAUGCUAACGAACGUAAUAAUAAUCGGACGGCCGCUGUCCACGUGAGUUGGUGGCACGAAGAGCUGCUGAACCCCGGGCAGGCAACACAGAUCACAGAACAUGGUGGUCGUCACUCAUCAUUUUUUGUUGCCAACACGACUCCGGUCAGUGUAUCUGAGCUGCCUGCCUGACUUGCAGGAGAUAGAAAAAAAAAGGGGUUGGUAGUUCGUUCACGUCGCCUCGAGGGCUAUAGCAUGUUCUUGUGUUCACAAAGGUAGUAGGAACUUUUCAGCUGCACACCUGGUGAAUAAAGCCAGUCUGUCCAGGCGGAGGCAAGCUGUUGUGGCUGCGACACAAACACUGCGCCAUCACAUACACAUACCAUCUCUCCACCAUCCUCUGUCCAGACGACCAGACCAAAUUAAAAGGAGAAGCAAACAGAGAUCUGGCAAUCUGGGUGGGGGUGGGCGGCGAGAGAGCAGGAGAAGACCAUUGCCCCUUGAAGGCGGGCUCCAGAGCGAGCUUCUCCGCCCUCUCUGUUUGCCUUGCCUGCUUGCCUCUACUCGUCCGGCCCAGCCAUGGCCACCAUCCUGGAGACCAUCCAGAAGGCGAGGCUCCUGCCGCCCAGGCCGCCUCAAGGACGAGCUGCCAACCUUCGGCGGCGGCGGCAGAGAGGAGAGCCACCCUCACGGGCCUGCGGAAGCGGCUGUCCGCCUUCUCCGGCAAGAUCCAGCCCAUCUCCUCCGCGUCGGCCGAGUGGGCGUUUCCGCCGGCGCUCCCGGCCGGCGCCCCUCCCUCUCCGCGGGAGGCGGCUCCCUGAGGCAAGUGGUGGCGGCGGGGCGUCGUCGGCUGGCUUCUGUCCCGGAAGCCGGGGUUCGCGGGCGACCUCGAGAUGAACGAGGACGAGGGCCGCCACGGCGGCAGGGGCACCUGGGGCUGGGGCCACGUCCUUUACAGGGUGCGCUCCGGCGUCCGCCGCCUCGUCGUGUCCGCGCACUCGCUCCCCACCACGCAGAGUCAGUCCCUGCCGCCGCCGGCGCACUGCAAGCCGGCGGCGCUCGCCCACGCGCAGAGGCUGGGCUUCCACCACGCCGGCCACGCCAUGGCGCACUAAGGAGGGUCGCCGGUCGCGCCGCGCCGCGCUGCGCUUGCCGGUGCUGUUUGCGGCCGAUCUCCCUCCAGAUUCGGAAACGGAGAAGCGGGCGAGAGGCACGAGAAGAGGAGGAUUCAGGUUGCAGGUAGGUGCGUGAGAUCGGUGGCGAAGAAAUCGCUGUACCGUUAUAAGUGAAAACUAGCUCGGUGAAUCGAUGGUGAAUGGAAUGGAAUGGAAGGUUUACCAUCCUGUGCUGUAGAGGUCAACUGGUCAAGUGUUGUAUCAUAUGCUCGUUCUUUAUAUUCUUUUUGGGUUUAUUGGACGAUGAAAACGUACAAUUUUGGUUGAAUCUGUACUUUUUUUUAAUUUUUUUUCCUCCAGCAGUAAAUAAAACUAACGCAAAUUGUGCUCC